AUUAUAGCUGCAGUGUCCAGAGGAACGCACACAUUCUCUAACAAGGUAAAACGAAGAAAUAUACACUAUGCAGAAAUCGGUUGCCGUUUUGUUUAUCCUUUCUGUUCUUCUGAUGACAGUGGACGUCUCAGACGGUUUUAUAACGACAUGGGUAAAUUGUCAAAAAUGUAAGGCUAGUUGUCAGUUGUAUUAUAUAGUGUGCAAUGCCGAUCCUUUGAAGAAUAGUUGUGGAUUAAAGAGGAAAUGGUGCAAAAAGAUCUGUAACUGCUAAAAAAGACAAAGAUGGGUGGACUCGACUGAUAUUCAUGAGGCUAAUUGUAGUCAUUUAUAUGUGGCUGUUGUCCAACUAGUCGUGAUCUAUUGAUAUUUGAAAUAAAAUAUGAAAGCAUGAA
rnacentral:sRNA from 1 species